rnacentral:rRNA from 1 species
UACGUAGGGUCCGAGCGUUGUCCGGAUUUAUUGGGCGUAAAGAGCUCGUAGGCGGCUUGUCGCGUCGACUGUGAAAUCCCGCGGCUCAACUGCGGGUCUGCAGUCGAUACGGGCAGGCUAGAGUUCGGUAGGGGAGACUGGAAUUCCUGGUGUAGCGGUGAAAUGCGCAGAUAUCAGGAGGAACACCGGUGGCGAAGGCGGGUCUCUGGGCCGAUACUGACGCUGAGGCGCGAAAGCUAGGGGAGCGAACGGG